GACGUAGGGCGCGAGCGUUGUCCGGAUUUAUUGGGCGUAAAGAGCUCGUAGGCGGCUUGUCGCGUCGGUUGUGAAAGCCCGGGGCUUAACUCCGGGUCUGCAGUCGAUACGGGCAGGCUAGAGUUCGGUAGGGGAGAUCGGAAUUCCUGGUGUAGCGGUGAAAUGCGCAGAUAUCAGGAGGAACACCGGUGGCGAAGGCGGAUCUCUGGGCCGAUACUGACGCUGAGGAGCGAAAGCGUGGGGAGCGAACAGG
rnacentral:rRNA from 1 species